rnacentral:rRNA from 1 species
GAUGAACGCUGACAGAAUGCUUAACACAUGCAAGUCUACUUGAACUUCGGUUUGGGUGGCGGGCGGGUGAGUAACGCGUAAAGAACUUGCCUCACAGUUAGGGACAACAUUUGGAAACGAAUGCUAAUACCUGAUAUUAUGAUUUUAGGGCAUCCUAAGAUUAUGAAAGCUAUAUGCGCUGUGAGAGAGCUUUGCGUCCCAUUAGCUAGUUGGAGAGGUAACGGCUCACCAAGGCGAUGAUGGGUAGCCGGCCUGAGAGGGUGAACGGCCACAAGGGGACUGAGACACGGCCCUUACUCCUACGGGAGGCAGCAGUGGGGAAUAUUGGACAAUGGACCAAAAGUCUGAUCCAGCAAUUCUGUGUGCACGAUGACGUUUUUCGGAAUGUAAAGUGCUUUCAGUUGGGAAGAAAAAAAUGACGGUACCAACAGAAGAAGUGACGGCUAAAUACGUGCCAGCAGCCGCGGUAAUACGUAUGUCACAAGCGUUAUCCGGAUUUAUUGGGCGUAAAGCGCGUCUAGGUGGUUAUGUAAGUCUGAUGUGAAAAUGCAGGGCUCAACUCUGUAUUGCGUUGGAAACUGCAUGACUAGAGUACUGGAGAGGUAAGCGGAACUACAAGUGUAGAGGUGAAAUUCGUAGAUAUUUGUAGGAAUGCCGAUGGGGAAGCCAGCUUACUGGACAGAUACUGACGCUAAAGCGCGAAAGCGUGGGUAGCAAACAGG